rnacentral:rRNA from 1 species
UCGGGAAUUUUGGGCAAUGGGGGAAACCCUGACCCAGCAACGCCGCGUGAAGGAUGAAGUAUUUCGGUAUGUAAACUUCGAAAGAAUAGGAAGAAUAAAUGACGGUACUAUUUUAUAAGGUCCGGCUAACUACGUGCCAGCAGCCGCGGUAAUACGUAGGGACCAAGCGUUGUUCGGAUUUACUGGGCGUAAAGGGCGCGUAGGCGGCAUGACAAGUCACUUGUGAAAUCUCUGGGCUUAACCCAGAACGGCCAAGUGAUACUGUCGCGCUAGAGUGCAGAAGGGGCAAUCGGAAUUCUUGGUGUAGCGGUGAAAUGCGUAGAUAUCAAGAGGAACACCUGAGGUGAAGACGGGUUGCUGGGCUGACACUGACGCUGAGGCGCGAAAGCCAGGGGAGCAAACGGGAUUAGAUACCCCGGUAGUCCCUGAGCGGGCUGGCAAGGCGCAU